GACGAACGCUGGCGGCGUGCUUAACACAUGCAAGUCGAACGGAAAGGCCCUGCUUUUGUGGGGUGCUCGAGUGGCGAACGGGUGUGUAACACGUGAGUAACCUGCCCUUGACUUUGGGAUAACUUCAGGAAACUGGGGCUAAUACCAGAUAGGAGCUCCUGCUGCAUGGUGGGGGUUGGAAAGUUUCGGCGGUUGGGGAUGGACUCGCGGCUUAUCAGCUUGUUGGUGGGGUAGUGGCUUACCAAGGCUUUGACGGGUAGCCGGCCUGAGAGGGUGACCGGCCACAUUGGGACUGAGAUACGGCCCAGACUCCUACGGGAGGCAGCAGUGGGGAAUAUUGCACAAUGGGCGGAAGCCUGAUGCAGCAACGCCGCGUGCGGGAUGACGGCCUUCGGGUUGUAAACCGCUUUCGCCUGUGACGAAGCGUGAGUGACGGUAAUGGGUAAAGAAGCACCGGCUAACUACGUG
rnacentral:rRNA from 1 species